GAUUAACGCUGGCGGCGUGCAUAACACAUGCAAGUCGAACGAUGAAACUCUGUAUACUUCUUCGGAUCGACACGAAGCGGGGUAGUGGCGACGGGGUGAGUAACGCGUGAGUAACCUGCCUUACACAAGGGGAUAGCCCUUGGACACGAAAGAUAAUACCCCAUAAAACCAUAAAAGGGCAUGCUAGAAUGGUCAAAGUGGUAGCGGUGUAAGAUGGACUUGCGUCUGAUUAGCUAGUUGGUGAGAUAAAAGCACACCAAGGCAACGAUCAGUGGCCGGCGGGAGAGCGUGUACGGUCGGAUUGGGACUGGGACACGACCCAGACUCCAAGGGGCGGCAGCGGUGGGGAAAUUAGCACAAGGGGGGAAACCCUGAUGCGCCGACGCCGGGUGAUUGAGAAGGCCUUCGGGUUGUAAAAAUCUUUUGUAUGGGAAGAAAAUGACAGUACUGGACGAAGAAGGUCCGGCUAAUUACGUG
rnacentral:rRNA from 1 species